GUUUUGAAUACCUGGUGGCAGAAUUGGCUUUAGUGCCUCCAUUUCCUCACAACGCAUGUAUCCAUCUACAUCAGCCAGUUUUCUGGUUUUAACUUGAUCUUUUUCCUGUCCCAGCUUGACCUCUGUCAAUGCCACUUCCAGAUCUGCUGCACAUUUUCUUAUGGUGUCAUUGGACAUGUCCUGAAAAUUGCAGAAGAAUCCAAAUAAAUUGUGAUACUUUUUCAGUUGUUCAAACCAUGGUUCAAGUGUUUACAGUGCAGUAUUUGAUUAAAACAUUGCACUCUGAAGCUGUUUUAGGAUCUGGCAAAGGUUCAUCUGCAGAUUCAUAAUCAAAUAAUUUUCUUUUUCUUGCGUAAGCGCUUACUCUGAGUCUUGAAUACAGGCUCAGCAACUAGGUCUUUGGCAAGUUCACUAGCAUCAAUCAAGGCUUCAUCAUAACCUUUUUCCCUGUAUGUCUUUAACCAGUUACAAAGCUUUUGAAAUGAAGAAACCCCUGUUGCAACAUCCAUCGUAUCACUCUGAAGUUUCUUACUCACAAAACUUACUUGAAAGAGUAAGGAGUUUAGAAGUAUGAGGGAGGACCUCAUUGAAACAUACAGAAUAGUUAUAGGCUUGGAUAUAGUCCAUGUGAAGAGGAUCUUUCCACUAGUGGGAGAGUCUUGGACUAGAGGUCAUAGCCUCAGAAUUAAAGGACGUUCUUUUAGGAAGGAGAUGAGGAGAAAUGGCUUUAGUCAGUGGGUGGUGAAUCUGAGGAAUUCCUAGCCACAGAAGGCUGUGAUGAAAUGGAUAUUUUUCAGCCAGAGAUAGAUAGAUUCUUGAUUAGUACAAGUGUCAGAGGUUAUGGGGAGAAGGCUGUCAGGUCUCGGGUUUGAUCUAGUUUCUGUUUCUUAUUGUUUUUUAGUAUUAGAGUGUGCAUUCUUGUUUUAUUUUGGUGUCUCGCAUCUCCUCUUGUUUCAGGUCCCAUUUCCUAUCAGGUCGUUUACCCUCAUGUGAUUAUUGGCCCCGCCCUGAUGUGUUUCACCUGUGUCUCGUUAUCCCCUGCUAGUCUGUAUUUAAGCCCUUUGUGUUUUAGUGCUCAUUGCCAGUUCGUCGUGUAUGAUACUUGAUUGUACUGUUGCCUCUGUUUUGCUUACCUGUGUACCGACUUGGACCGAUUAAACUCUGAAGACUGA